AGCGAACGCUGGCGGCAGGCUUAGCACAUGCAAGUCGAACGGGCAUCUUCGGAUGUCAGUGGCAGACGGGUGAGUAACACGUGGGAACGUACCCUUCGGUUCGGAAUAACUCAGGGAAACUUGAGCUAAUACCGGAUACGCCCUUUUGGGGAAAGGUUUACUGCCGAAGGAUCGGCCCGCGUCUGAUUAGCUUGUUGGUGGGGUAACGGCCUACCAAGGCGACGAUCAGUAGCUGGUCUGAGAGGAUGAUCAGCCACACUGGGACUGAGACACGGCCCAGACUCCUACGGGAGGCAGCAGUGGGGAAUAUUGGACAAUGGGCGCAAGCCUGAUCCAGCCAUGCCGCGUGAGUGAUGAAGGCCUUAGGGUUGUAAAGCUCUUUUGUCCGGGACGAUAAUGACGGUACCGGAAGAAUAAGCCCCGGCUAACUUCGUG
rnacentral:rRNA from 1 species